rnacentral:snRNA from 1 species
CUUGUCUCUGAUAUGUCCUCCAUAGGAGGUCUAUAUUGAGCAGAUUCUUUUUGGUAUUGGGUGGUGGAACCGGAGCGUGCUCCAUCCACUCCAUGCAUUGACCUGGUAUUGCAGUGCUUCCAGGACCGGUGC